GUGCCAGCCGCCGCGGUAAUACGUAGGGUGCAAGCGUUAAUCGGAAUUACUGGGCGUAAAGCGUGCGCAGGCGGUUUUGUAAGUCAGGUGUGAAAUCCCCGAGCUCAACUUGGGAAUUGCACUUGAGACUGCAAGACUAGAGUAUGUCAGAGGGGGGUGGAAUUCCAAGUGUAGCAGUGAAAUGCGUAGAUAUUUGGAAGAACACCGAUGGCGAAGGCAGCCCCCUGGGAUAAUACUGACGCUCAUGCACGAAAGCGUGGGGAGCAAACAGGAUUAGAUACCCCCGUAGUCC
rnacentral:rRNA from 1 species